rnacentral:lncRNA from 1 species
CCUGCAGCCAGGCUCUGACAAGCCAGCACUGGUGGACGUGGGUGCGGAGCGGCCCUCGCUGGGAACCGCCCCGGCCCCGCCGGCUCCUCCUCCGGGCAGGCCCGGGCACUGCACGGGAGAACGGGCGACACCAGCCGGGGCUCCUCCCCACACCCGCGCAGGCCUGGCAGGGCGCGCGGCUGCCCGGCCUACACGUGGCGCCCUAACUUGUGCGAAAUUCCAGCGGCCUGAGAACACUCCGGAGUGCACCAGUGAGAACCAGGAGAGCCUCGGAGACAAAAACACUCUGCAAGCCCCACCGAAACCCCAAGGAAGGAAUCGGUGCGCCUGCCUGUCACUGUCCUCUUUAUGGAAGAAGACGGAGGGACUCCUGAAAUGUCUGGAAAUUCUGCUCAGCAUUCGGGGGCACCCCCACCCUGGAACUCAGUCCCUUGGGCGCAGCAAAGAAACGGAUUUAGAGUCAAGACCACUAGGACGCAGGCCAGCCAGAAGAAGAAAGAAAUGCAAGAGGAAGAGCAGAACUGAGUGCUGAAGUGCUAGAACCUUCUGGAGCCUUCUGGAACCUGGAAAGACUGGUCCAAACCCAGUUUAACCACUUCCUAGCUGUGCGACCAUGAGCCUUGCCCAUCUGUAAACUGGGAAGUUUGUUUUGAGACCGGAGAUAACACACAUAAUAUAACUGGACCACCAGAGACGUCUGCCAGGCAGAGGCAGAGCGGCCUCCCACUUCUUUAGUGCACGCCUCGGGCAAACUGAUCCCAGCGGCAAACCAUCGCACCGGAAAAACAGGUAGGGACGCUCGCUCCGGCUCGGCAGCCAGUCGCCAGGAGUUUCGGAAAGUGCAGCAGUCAGCACUUAGCGGCGAUUUUGCACUCAACAGCACCGAGCCAGGUGGGGACGACUCGGGG